CUACCUGCUGAGAUCCGAUAAAAUUAGAACGGUACAGAGAAGAUUAGCAUGGCCCCUGCGCAAUGAUGAGGUGUGAGCCCAAGUAUCUAGCGUAU
rnacentral:snRNA from 1 species